CUAACUCAUUCCAUUCAAUCAUCUUCUAAGUUUCAUCUUCUUCCAUUUCCGUUACCCAUCCCCCUCUGUAAUUAAUCGUUUCCUUUCACCUCCCUCUCUUCAUUUUUUUAUAAACUCUUUCUUCUUAGCUUACUACAAAUCUAAGCUCGAAAACCUCCUCUCAGUAAACUUAAGCCAUGGCAAUGAAACCCAACUGAAAGUCACCUGUUUUAACCGGAAAUUCUCAUGUUGCUUUGUAUUCCACAUCCCACCACGUCCAUCUCGAUCCGAAUUACAAUUUCGACUCAUACAUUUCUAUGAGUAAAAAAAACACAGCAAAAGGAGGGACCUUUAUUGGACUGGAGAUGCUCAUUAUUGACGACACAGGACAAGUUGAUUCAGUGUUAUUGAUGACGUUCUUUACUCCAUCAACCAACUCCAAUCAAAGAUUCUUCAUUCAAUUAAUCUUCUACACGAAGCAGUGGAAAUCCAGCUAUAAAAAGAUUCUUCAUUCAAUUAAUCUUUAACUCAAUGACGUUCUUUACUCCAUCAUCCUCCCAAAAACGUUUUCAGAAGAAAACUUGAGUUUAGAUUUUUUUUUCUUUAUUAAUUAAUUUAGAAAGCUUGAGUUUAGAUGAUUUUUAUUUCGUUUAUUGAUUUAGUAAGCUUGAGUUUAGAUCAUGUUAGAUGAUUUUGGUUUUGUUUAAUGAUUUUGUUUUCGUUUGUUGGUACGACGUGGUAGGGAGCAGAGUUAGAUGAUAUUCAGCAGAUGAGGAACACUCAUGAUUAUUUCAUUAAGUUUGUUGGAAGCAUGGCAUCGACUUUUUGGACACAAAGACGUAGCGUGCAGUUCAACUGAUACUCUCAAGUGGUGUGCAUAACCAUUCAUGGAGGCAUCAACUUUAGAGGAGACAUGAAUAAAAUUUUCUACGGCUACAGUCUCUAAGCGCUCAAAAGCCUUGGCAUCAUUAACUGGCGAUAUUCCUCUAGCUUAUGAUGAUCAAUUCGAGAAACCUGUGUGGUCUUGGAAAGGUAUUUUGGUUAAUAUACCAACAAAGAUGAGACAUGAUGGUUUGUGUUGUACUGGGGAGAGCGGACCACAGCUUAAGGAUGAAUUGAUCAGAAGAGGAUUCAACCUAUUAGAGUUCGUACCGUGUGGGACUGUUUCGGUCAUUCAGGAACCGGGAUAGUUGAGUUUAACAGAGACUGGAAUGGACUUAACGAUGCUUUGCUGUCCAAGAAGGCUUAUCAAGAAGAUGGUCAUGGUAAAAAAGAUUGGCUGAGUGGUGGUGGUGCUGCUGACUCUAGCCUUUACGCAUGGCUUGCCAAUACUGAUGAUUAUUAUAGGGCUGCUAACUAUAUAGGAGAGUACUUGGGGAAGAUGGGUGACCUCAAAAGUAUUUCUAGGUUUGCAGAAGAAGAGGCUAGGAAAGAUCAUAAGCUUGUGGUGCGUCUGAACGUAAUCUCUGAGAACAUACAGAGCCGGUUGAGGAUGCUAGAGGAAAAAUUCUCAAAGACUUCGAUUAAACUUAAAUGUGAGACUGAAGAAAAAUAUAAGAUUCUCCACGGUUACAAUCAAGGUGGGCUUAACCCUAUAGCUAUGUAGUAGAUAUGUGUAUUGCUUUUGCUUAUAUUCAUGUUACAUUUUUUAUUUUUGCAUCUGAAGAUCUCACGGGAAGACAACAAAGAUCGACUGCUCAUUUCAAUAUAAUCUUUGCUGAUCUUGGAAAAUUUUCUUCUUUUCUCUUACCAAAUUUAACUUGAGAGAAAUUAUAUAAAAUAUACUGAAAAUCGUAAUAAAUUAUUAAUAUAUAAUCAAAACAUAAUUUUAAGCAUAAUAAAUAUGAAAACAAAAACAUACAAAAAAUGAAAAUUUAGUUAAAUUAGGUUGAAUUUAAAUAAAUUUUAGUCAUCAUCUAAAUUAAUUGAA